GUCUAUGCCCUGCUGAAAAGAAAACAACUCUGCAACACACCAACACCAGGAAAAGCUGAAUGAAGCAUGUCCCUUCUCAUCAGACACCACAGUAUCCUCGCUGAGCAACACAUGGCAAAUCCCAGCUGCAGAAAUUCCUCCAGCAGCACUGAAACACCACAGUCCACCAACUGUGAGCCAGAAAACAAGACUGACACACUCCUUUAUCAAUAGCUGCUAGCUCAGAAGAUGCUUAUAGAAAACUGGAUGCCAUAAGAUUCUUUAGAUUUGUGAUCAUAAGACACAGGGAAAGGAUGCUCAAGCCACAUGCUGUGACGGUCUGACAAAUUAUAGUCAAUGUCUCAAACGUUCGUUAAAGAACUUUGGUGGAGAAAACGGCCUCUGUAAAAACGCUGGAGUUUU